CGUGAUACAUCGGCUAUCUCGGAUUCCUCCGUAAGAUAGGCCUCGUGGCUAACGGUCGCCAUAUUGCCUUGUAUUACUACUUUACUACCCAAAAGGUUGUCAGUCUAUUGUUAUGAGGCUGUAUACGAUGCGCGUUGAACUAGCGCCAAACUUUUUACCGAAACUUUGAUAUAAAUAGCACUAUUAACGUUCAUUUGUGUUGCAUUUUGACCUAUUAUCCAAGUGAUUUACUUUUCCAUUUUUAUUUAAUCACCCUAUCAUCCAAUUUUUAAGAUAAAAUUACGGUGUUUACAAAACCAACCAAACCGAAAGUGAAACUGGAUGCAUUACGUUUCGCGAUGUAAACAUUAAAUAUUUGUUCAGUUUGAGGAAGCGAAUCGAUAAUAGACGUUGAAAUAUGUAUGCAAUACAGACUAUCAUUGCCGAUUGUAGUACUGGCUAAAAAAUACCUUUUAUGACAGGUUUACUGGAUUAUGAAAGACUGAUAAACAUAAAAUUGACAACUCAUCUCCCCAACGAUACUUUGUGUGGCUCAUUCUCGGAACAAACCCAUAGUCAGUGAGAAAACUACAGUGUAAAAAGACCACUUGAUUGUGACAAUUAUGGCUGACCAAGCAAAUGUUAUCAUUUAAAAUAAAGAAAACUUCCAGUUCAAUA